CAGGAGGGAAGCAGCGCUUCAGGGGAAGGAUCUAAUGGCUGUGACCUGCGUGGGCUGCAGUAUGUUGUUCUGCUUGAAGCAGAUGAAGGAAAUCCAGCCUCACACAGAUAUGUUGCUCAAGGGCAGACCCUGCACACUCCCUGAAAGGGCCCUAGGGAACCAAAGAUCACACUUUGAGAACUGCUGCUCUUGAGGCAAGACUGGAUUAAAUUUAAAGGCAACAA
rnacentral:lncRNA from 10 species